ACUUGUUUCUUCAGAGUGGUUAAGAAUUUCACAGAAAGCUGACGAGUCCAAUAAUUGAUUCUACUAAAGUUAGAUGCAUUCGAUUCUGGUUUCAAAGUGAAGGGGAGUACUUCAGGAGAUCAUUACAGCUGCUCAUAAACGAUUCUGAUUCAAAUUCUUCGUCAACACUUUGGUCUGUAGACGAAGAAACUCCAACUUGGACUUUUAUUCAACUUCCGUUACGAAGAGCUGGUAGUAAAUUCCAGGUCGUUUUUCUGGGGUUCAAAGAGCAAAAUCAGGCGGAUAUAAAGAUCAAAAACAUCUCGUUUUCUGACGAAAUCUGUAAUUAAAUUGCAG